UGCAUUAGAAUUAGAAUCUAAUAAACUAUAAAUAUUUUCUUUAUUAAAUUUUAUUU
rnacentral:tRNA from 1 species